rnacentral:rRNA from 1 species
UGGGGAAUAUUGCACAAUGGGGGAAACCCUGAUGCAGCGACGCCGCGUGAAGGAAGAAGUAUUUCGGUAUGUAAACUUCUAUCAGCAGGGAAGAAGAUGACGGUACCUGAGUAAGAAGCACCGGCUAAAUACGUGCCAGCAGCCGCGGUAAUACGUAUGGUGCAAGCGUUAUCCGGAUUUACUGGGUGUAAAGGGAGCGUAGACGGAUAGGCAAGUCUGAAGUGAAAACCCAGGGCUCAACUCUGGGACUGCUUUGGAAACUGCAGAUCUGGAGUGCCGGAGAGGUAAGCGGAAUUCCUAGUGUAGCGGUGAAAUGCGUAGAUAUUAGGAGGAACACCAGUGGCGAAGGCGGCUUACUGGACGGUGACUGACGUUGAGGCUCGAAAGCGUGGGGAGCAAACAGG